GAUGAAGAACGCAGCGAAAUGCGAUACGUAGUGUGAAUUGCAGAAUUCAGUGAAUCAUCGAAUCUUUGAACGCACAUUGCACCUCUCGGUAUUCCGGGAGGUAUGCCUGUUCGAGCGUCAUUUGUACCCUCAAGCUCUGCUUGGUGUUGGGUGUUUGUUCCGCCUCUGUGUGUGAACUCGCCUCAAAACAAUUGGCAGCCGGCGUACUUGUUUCGGAGCGCAGCACAUUUUGCGAUCCAGAUCAACGUACAGCGGCAUCCAAGAAGCCUUAUUUAACGCUCUUGACCUCGGAUCAGGUAGGGAUACCCGCUGAACUUAAGCAUAUCAAUAAGGA
rnacentral:misc_RNA from 1 species